GACGUAGGGCGCGAGCGUUGUCCGGAUUUACUGGGCGUAAAGGGCGCGUAGGCGGUUCGUUAAGUCCUGUGUGAAAUCCCCCGGCUCAACUGGGGAACUGCACAGGAAACUAGCGGGCUUGAGUUCGGGAGAGGGAAGCGGAAUUCCGGGUGUAGCGGUGAAAUGCGUAGAGUAUCCGGAGGAACACCGGUGGCGAAGGCGGCUUCCUGGACCGACACUGACGGCUGAGGCGCGAAAGCUAGGGGAGCAAACGGG
rnacentral:rRNA from 1 species